rnacentral:lncRNA from 1 species
UGGGGAUCUUCGCUCGUACCUGGAGAACCUUGCUACUGCAGUGCAGACGACGUCCAGCGUUACGUCGAGGAACACCCAUUUGGCCAGCUUCCAAUCACUGAGAGGAACCCAAAUUGGAAGUUGUAUGAGCAGAUGCUUGAUGGUCUUUUGUCCAGGUUCUGAAGCUUUUGCUUUCAUGGUCAUGGCUGGAGGUUUCAGCUGUUGAGUUUUGUUCAGUUAGGCGCCUAACAGCUUUGUGU